AUAAACCGUUACUGAGACUAAAGAUAAGACUCCUGGGAGAGUGGUGUGUCAGCUGCAGGCUCUCAUCUCCUUGGUGCUGAACAAAAAACGUGACACUUCCACAAGCGUGUGGAUCGCAGGUGGUUCCUGGGCAUCAGUGGGAACUGCACCGUGGGUCGGCGUGGGAUCACAUGGGACCAGGUACUCCUCUCUCGCAUCUCUGCUGCCCACUUGUAGCUCAGUAGAGGUGUGUGAAAUGUGGCUUCUUUCAAAUCUUCACAUUGAUUCAUCUGUCUGACACUUUCCUCCAAAGCAACUUACCGUGUUAAGCUUCUUACACUGAUUUACCCAUUUAUACAGUUGGUAUUCUACUGGAGUUAUUUUAGGGCAAGUACCUUACUCGAGGGUACAGUCACAGUAGGUGAGAUUUGAAUCGGCAGCCUUUGGAUCUAAAGGCAGCAGAUCUAAGCACCGCACAAUUAACCCCCCCCCCC
rnacentral:lncRNA from 1 species